UCUCGCGUAGCUUAGUGCUCAGAGCAUUGGUGCGUAAAGCCAAAGGUCCCGGGUUCAAUUCCCGGCGGGAGUA
rnacentral:tRNA from 1 species